rnacentral:rRNA from 1 species
AUGUCCAGCCCCCCUCCUCCGGACGCCGGGUUGCCGCCGGUGACUCCAGUUCCGCCUACUCCGGUGACCCCAUCACCGGUGACUCCAGUUCCGCCUACUCCGGUGACCCCAUCUCCGGUUACUCCAGUUCCGCCUACUCCAUCGCCCGUAGCAAUUCCGCCUUCUCCGGUAGCAGUUCCGCCUACUCCGGUCCAGGCGGAUCCUCCCACCAUCGUGAAUCCUCCAGUGCUACCCCCGGUGAAUUCUCCUCCACCGCCUUCACCGCCACCACCUUCACCAAGGCCGCCAACGACGCCGAACCCAACGCCGGUAACACCGUCCCCAUCUCCACCAAGGCCCACGCCGACGCCAAACCCAACGCCAGUAACACCGUCCCCGCCUCCACCAAGGCAAACUCCCACGCCAACACCAACUCCUCGCAGGCCGCCGCCGUCCUCCCCAGCGCCGCCUGACGCCACGCCUCCACCUCCUGAGGACGUCCCAUCUUCGCCGCCGCUCCCGAUCGACGCCCCAGCUGCAACAGCGCCUCCGCCCUCAGCUCUUACGUUUUAUCCGCCGCCGCCGCCGCAGUCAGCAGAAGCGCCGUCGACAUCCGCCAAGUCCUCGUCAAGCAGCGGGACCGCGUUGGGCGUGGGCGUGGCCGUCGGGGCAGUGGUCUUGCUUGGCCUCGCGGCCGCGCUGAUCUUCUUCUUCGUCUCCAAGCGGCGCCGUCGCCGUAGGGUACCGCCGCCGGGGACCCCAGGCCUUGCUGUUGCGAGUAGGCAACCGAAGUUGGUGAGGUUGCUGAGCGAGCUGCUCGCGGGGUUUUGGUUACCGGGCGGCAAAAUUCGUUACGGCUCGCUAUUCAAAAAAUCUCAGGGUGGGUCGUGGCCCACCCUGUCCACCCUCUACCUCCACCUUGAUGGGAUGUCACGGUUAUGUCGGUGUCUAUGUGAGAUCCUCAGGAUGCGUGCCUUGACCACCAACAUGGUUGCGCCUUCUGACGAGGCCAUCUGUCAGGUAGCAGGCAUGGGCCGCAUUGUGGCCUAG